GUGGAUAGGUUUACCCCAGGUCCCCAGGUUUGCCAAUGAAAUGCGAUCCCUGCUUCAUUUUCUUCUGGACUUGAGGUCAUUAUUUUCUGUGUGGAAACUAGAGAUUCAUUUGGCAGUUCAAGACCUGCGGAUGUGAACCAGGUCCCCAGGCGACUGGAAGACUCCAGGAUUUGGAGUCCAGAUGGGCGAUAAAAACAUUUUUGAGGAGGAAAAAAUGGUUCCCAGUGUGAGGUAAUGGAUAGAAGUAAAGUACACGACCUUGAGGACUCCCUUUUCAGAAGUAACUGGGUACAAAGAGCUUUUAUAGGGAUAAAAGGGAGGAACAGGGCAAGAAGGCAAUGUCCUGAGCCAAGUCUUUGUCAUCCUGGGCAUGUCUCCCUUAUUUUCAUGCCCAAUAAUUAAAAAUCUCAAUGAUCCUGAACUUCCUGGGGCUACUUCUAUAGUUGAUGCAGAGAACUGAAGACUAAAGGCUGGGGGGUGGGGGGUGUCACCAAGGAUAGCAGGUGGAAAUCUGAAGAAAGAUUAGUUAGCAGUUAACAUCUUCACCACAUAGGUGGGGCUUCUCUUUACAACUUAUAAUCACAGCAAAAGGGAGGUGGUAUAAACCUUGAAGAAGGAUUAGGGAGUGGGACAAAAAGGGAAAUGGAGGGGACAGAAAAGGAUUGGGGAGGGAGGUGAACAUAAUUCUGCUAAAGACAACUUUCUAAAGGGACUUCUCUGUAAUAGCACCCUUGGAAAUCCUAAGCAUAACAUGCAGUAGUCAGGCCAUACAGGUAUAGUAGUUCAAGGACUUAGAGGUAAAUUAGGAAAAAACUAGACCACAAGAGACAGUAAUAUACAGUCAGCUUUAUUAAGUGGCACUUCACAGAUUCUUGAAAGGGGUGUCCCUCCCAACAGAGAUGGCAGCAUGAGACCACUGCCCAAGGGAAUAAAUAUUAUCUUCUAGGGGAAACAAGGGUAUUAUGCAUGUAGGUGAUGAUGUAGCAAUGAGUAGGGAGUCUCAAGAGUUCUGAAGGGUGUCAGUGGGUGUUUUGUUUGUUUAUAGUUAUAGCAUUUGUCUAAACUAUUGUUAACACAUGUUGGUGCUUCAGGGGUAUGCAAAGUGGAUGGGCUCUAAAUGGCCAAAAAUAUGUUUAUGUGAUGUAUAACUGUAAUGCACCAAUAAAAAAUGUGGAAAAAUGUU